GUCUUAAAUUCUUCUUUUUCUACUUCUAAAGUUGGUUUCACAGAUUUGAUGAAUAGUUCUACGAGACAGAAGACACUUAGAGAGACAUCUAGACAAGACAACAGACACAUCAAAAGUCUCUUUUCUUCUUCUCUUCUGGACCAAACUAACCUCCAACUUUUGGGAGCAUCGCCCAUCCCUGCCCCUCAAUGUCCUCAUCAGUCCCGUCAAAUUAGAGAAAAGGGUUCGAAAUCGUUCCUGAAUCUCAUUCGCUCCAACAGAUGACGAUUUUUCCCAAGAUUGGCAGCAGAACUGUCAGGAUUUUAUUUUUAUGAUUUGGGGGUUGUUGGGAGAUCUGGUGAACUUUGACCUCCUUAAUGUCAGUGAUGAGGACUUUAUUUUCUCUCUCAAGGUAUGGUUUACAACAAGUUUUGUAAUUUAAGUGGAAAAGUUCUUACCCAUGCCAAAAGGUUAUUCAAAAAUUCUAGUCUAAAGAUUUUCUCGGUUUUGCUAGCUUUUCUUUGUUCUUAU
rnacentral:lncRNA from 1 species